rnacentral:rRNA from 1 species
AGGACGAACGCUGGCGGCGUGCUUAACACAUGCAAGUCGAACGGAAAGGUCUCUUCGGAGACACUCGAGUGGCGAACGGGUGAGUAACACGUGGGUGAUCUGCCCUGCACUUCGGGAUAAGCCUGGGAAACUGGGUCUAAUACCGAAUAUGACCAUGAGAUGCAUGGUCUUAUGGUGGAAAGCUUUUGCGGUGUGGGAUGGGCCCGCGGCCUAUCAGCUUGUUGGUGGGUCACGGCCUACCAAGGCUCCGACGGGUA